UACGUAGGCAGCAAGCGUUGUUCGGAAUUACUGGGCGUAAAGCGUGUGUAGGCGGUUGGGUAAGUCUGGUGUGAAAUCUCCCGGCUCAACUGGGAGGGUGCGCCGGGAACUGCCUGGCUGGAGUGCGGAAGAGGAGAGUGGAAUUCCCAGUGUAGAGGUGAAAUUCGUAGAUAUUGGGAAGAACACCGGUGGCGAAGGCGGCUCUCUGGACCGAGACUGACGCUGAGGCGCGAAAGCGUGGGGAGCAAACAGG
rnacentral:rRNA from 1 species